rnacentral:rRNA from 1 species
UAAAAGUCGUAACAAGGUUUCCGUAGGUGAACCUGCGGAAGGAUCAUUAUWGAAUAAACUUGAACAGGCUGUUGCUGGUCUCCCUUUGGGGGGGCAUGUGCACGCUUGUCAUCUUUAUUUCUCCAACUGUGCACAUAUUGUAGACCUGGAGUCGUCUUUGUUGAUUCAUUUCGAGUUGGCACUGCAGCGCUCACAAACCUGCUUUGCCUUUUUGCAUUCCCAGGUCUAUGUCAUUUUCACAACCUCAAUUGUGUUUAGAAUGUUGAAUCAGGUUUUGAUACCUAUAAAGUUAAAUAUACAACUUUCAGCAACGGAUCUCUUGGCUCUCGCAUCGAUGAAGAACGCAGCGAAAUGCGAUAAGUAAUGUGAAUUGCAGAAUUCAGUGAAUCAUCGAAUCUUUGAACGCAUCUUGCGCUCCUUGGUAUUCCGAGGAGCAUGCCUGUUUGAGUGUCAUUUCUAGUUCUCAACUGCGUCGAUUUCUUAUYGAUGUGGCUUGGAUGUGGGGGAUUUAGCAGGCUUUCUGUCAAAGGAGGUCGGCUCCCCUGAAAAAUAUUAGUGGUAUYUGAGCUACUACAGGUGUGAUAAUUAUCUAUGCCUUCAGUAUGCUAUUGCACUGCUUCCAACGAGUGAGAGAGAGGUUCUCUCUCACAUUUGACGAAUUUGACCUCAAAUCAGGUAGGACUACCCGCUGAACUUAAGCAUAUCAAUAAGCGGAGGAAAAGAAACUAACAAGGAUUCCCCUAGUAACUGCGAGUGAAGCGGGAAAAGCUCAAAUUUGAAAUCUGGCGGUCUUUUGACCGUCCGAGUUGUAAUCUAGAGAAGUGUUACCUGUGCU